GGGGAAUAUUGGGCAAUGGGCGCAAGCCUGACCCAGCAACGCCGCGUGAAGGAAGAAGGCUUUCGGGUUGUAAACUUCUUUUCUGAGGGACGAACAAAUGACGGUACCUCAGGAAUAAGCCACGGCUAACUAC
rnacentral:rRNA from 1 species